UCAGAAGCUCUUUACUAGUAAAGUCAACGAAUAUUUGAAGGAUUACACAUUCAUUACAACCGGUGAAUUGCCGUUGUGGAUUCCACAUAUAGUCAGCUCCUGUCCAUUUUUGUUUCCUGUGGACACUUUUCCACAACGUUUGACCGUGAGCGCGCAUUAUUACGGAUUCUUGCUGUCUUCAAUCCCGAAUUUGUUGGACCGAGAAGUGCUCAUAUCACUGCUCAACUGCACGUAAAGCAAAAGAAUGUGAUCGUGAAAUGAUUCGGGAAGAUUCAAAAGCGAUUCUACAGAAAUUGACCGUAAAAGAGAAUGCUGUUCUCGAAAUUAUGUUCAAAGGAGAGUAUGGAUUUGGGUCGGGUCCGACCAGGGAGUUUUUUUCUCUUCUGAGUCGAGAAAUCCAGAGAUUUGACCUUUUCCUGUGGCGAGGAGAACGGGUUACCUUUGACGUUGAUGGUCCGUUACAGACGGUUGACUACGUUCAAAGUACGACUGUAUAUUCUCAUUACCAACAACCCACCGUGAUCAAAUGAACUCAACGUCCGGCUGGUCAUUUUAUCUCGUUGGGAAACUACUUACCAGAUGUAUAAUGGAUUCC